ensembl:snRNA U6 U6 spliceosomal RNA
GUGCUCACUCUGACAGCACAUACACUAAAAUUAGAAUGAUACAGAGACGAUUAGCAUGGCCCCUAUUGCAAGAAUGACAUACAAAUUUGUGAAGUGUUCCCUAUUUUU